rnacentral:rRNA from 1 species
UACGUAGGGGGCAAGCGUUGUCCGGAAUCAUUGGGCGUAAAGAGCGUGUAGGCGGCCAGAUAAGUCCGCUGUGAAAACUCGAGGCUCAACUUCGAGCUGUCGGUGGAAACUAUUUGGCUAGAGUCCGGAAGAGGAGAGUGGAAUUCCUGGUGUAGCGGUGAAAUGCGCAGAUAUCAGGAAGAACACCCGUGGCGAAGGCGGCUCUCUGGUACGGAACUGACGCUGAGGAGCGAAAGCGUGGGGAGCGAACAGG